rnacentral:rRNA from 1 species
UACGGGGGGGGCAAGCGUUGUUCGGAAUUACUGGGCGUAAAGGGCUCGUAGGUGGCCAACUAAGUCAGACGUGAAAUCCCUCGGCUUAACCGGGGAACUGCGUCUGAUACUGGAUGGCUGGAGUUUGGGAGAGGGAUGCGGAAUUCCAGGUGUAGCGGUGAAAUGUGUUGAGAUCGGGAGGAACGCCGGUGGCGAAAGCGACAGACUGGGGCUUGGCCGACGCUCAGGCACGAAAGCCAGGGGAGCGAACGGG